rnacentral:rRNA from 1 species
UGGGGAAUAUUGCACAAUGGGCGAAAGCCUGAUGCAGCAACGCCGCGUGAGUGAUGAAGGCCUUCGGGUUGUAAAGCUCUGUCUUUUGGGACGAUAAUGACGGUACCAAAGGAGGAAGCCACGGCUAACUACGUGCCAGCAGCCGCGGUAAUACGUAGGUGGCAAGCGUUGUCCGGAUUUACUGGGCGUAAAGGAUGCGUAGGCGGAUUUUUAAGUGAGAUGUGAAAUACCCGGGCUUAACUUGGGUGCUGCAUUUCAAACUGGGAAUCUAGAGUGCGGGAGAGGAGAAUGGAAUUCCUAGUGUAGCGGUGAAAUGCGUAGAGAUUAGGAAGAACACCAGUGGCGAAGGCGAUUCUAUGGACCGUAACUGACGCUGAGGCAUGAAAGCGUGGGUAGCAAACAGGAUUAGAUACCCUGGUAGUCCACGCCGUAAACGAUGAGUACUAGGUGUAGGAGGUAUCGACCCCUUCUGUGCCGCAGUUAACACAAUAAGUACUCCGCCUGGGAAGUACGAUCGCAAGAUUAAAACUCAAAUGAAUUGACGGGGUC